AGUGAACGCUGGCGGCGUGCCUAAUACAUGCAAGUCGAACGGAGUGGCGUACGGGUGAGUAAUGUAUAUCUAAUCUGCCCUACACUAGAGGGCAACACUUGCUAACGGCUGCUACUACUCUCUAGUGUAGGUUGAGUCUAUAUUGUAUCAACUAGUUGGUGAGGUAAUGGCUCACCAAGGCUAUGACGCAUAACUGGUCUGAGAGGAUGAUCAGUCACACUGGAACUGAGACACGGUCCAGACUCCUACGGGAGGCAGCAGUAGGGAAUAUUGCUCAAUGGGCGAAACCCUGAAGGAGCAACGGCGCGUGGAGGAUGACAAUUUUCGGAGCGUAAACUGCUUUUGUGAGGGAAGCGGUACCUAAAGAAUAAGCACCGGCUAACUCCGUGCCAGCAGCCGCGGUAAUAC
rnacentral:rRNA from 1 species